GUCUUUUUGAUUUUAAUUUAAAGUUUAACCUGCCCAUUGAAAAUUUUUAAAAGGCUGCGGUAUUUUGACUGUACAAAGGUAGCAUAAUCAUUAGUUUUUUAAUUGAAAACUUGUAUGAAUGGUUGAAUGAGAAAUUAACUUUUUUAAAAAAAUAAUUGAAUUUUACUUUUUAAUUAAAAGGUUAAAAUAAAUUUAAAAGACGAGAAGACCCUAUAGAGUUUUAUAAUUUUUAUUUAAUAUUUAAAAAGAUUAAUUAAAAUUUUAUAAAAGAAAAUAUUUUGUUGGGGUGAUAAUAAAAUUUAAAUAACUUUUAUUUUUUUUUUACAUUAAUAUAUGAAUUUAUGAUCCAUUAUUGAUGAUUAGAAAUUUAAAUUACCUUAGGGAUAACAGCGUAAUUUUUUUUUAAAGUUCAUAUUAAUAAAAAAUUUUGCGACCUCGAUGUUGGAUUAAGAUUUAAUUUUAGGUGCAGCAGUUUAAAUUUUAAGUCUGUUCGACUUUUAAAUU
rnacentral:rRNA from 1 species